rnacentral:rRNA from 1 species
ACGCACGCUGGCGGCGUGCCUAAUACCUGCAAGUCGAGCGAAGUUUUUCUGGUGCUUGCACUAGAAAAACUUCGCGGCGAACGGGUGAGUAACACGUAAAGAACCUGCCUCAUAGACUGGGACAACUAUUGGAAACGAUAGCUAAUACCGGAUAACAGUAUUUCUCGCAUGAGAGAUAUUUAAAAGUUGGUUAUGCUAACACUAUGAGAUGGCUUUGCGGUGCAUUAGCUAGUUGGUGGGGUAAAGGCCCACCAAGGCGACGAUGCAUAGCCGACCUGAGAGGGUGAUCGGCCACACUGGGACUGAGACACGGCCCAGACUCCUACGGGAGGCAGCAGUAGGGAAUCUUCCGCAAUGGGCGAAAGCCUGACGGAGCAACGCCGCGUGAGUGAAGAAGGAUUUCGGUUCGUAAAGCUCUGUUGUUAGGGAAGAAUGGAUAUGUAGUAACUAUACAUGUAAGAGACGGUACCUAACCAGAAAGCCACGGCUAACUACGUG